ensembl:misc_RNA
CUGACCACACUGCCAGAUCCUUCUCCCGAGGCGCCUGGGUUCCUUGGCACAUACAGUUGUCGAGAAGGUGCUUGCUGACUUGGGGCUCAUUCGAUAGGUGCACAACAGGCGGCUCCCCAGGUGUUCCCAUUUUGCUGCCAUGGACUCUAAGAUUUGGAGAC